rnacentral:rRNA from 1 species
CCUACGGGUGGCAGCAGUGAGGAAUAUUGGUCAAUGGGCGGGAGCCUGAACCAGCCAAGCCGCGUGAGGGACGAAGGUACAGCGUAUUGUAAACUUCUUUUGUCAGGGAACAAAAGCGGGGACUAGUCCCCGAAUGAGGGUACCUGAAGAAAAAGCAUCGGCUAACUCCGUGCCAGCAGCCGCGGUAAUACGGAGGAUGCGAGCGUUAUCCGGAUUUAUUGGGUUUAAAGGGUGCGCAGGCGGCCUGUUAAGUCAGCGGUAAAAGCCCGGGGCUCAACCCCGGCGAGCCGUUGAAACUGGGGGGCUGGAGUGGGAGAGAGGUACGCGGAAUGCGCGGUGUAGCGGUGAAAUGCUUAGAUAUCGCGCAGAACCCCGAUUGCGAAGGCAGCGUACCGGCUCCACACUGACGCUGAGGCACGAAAGCGUGGGUAUCAAACAGGAUUAGAUACCCGGGUAGUC